UGGGGAAUUUUGGACAAUGGGCGAAAGCCUGAUCCAGCAAUGCCGCGUGUGUGAAGAAGGCCUUCGGGUUGUAAAGCACUUUUGUCCGGAAAGAAAUCCUUGGCUCUAAUACAGUCGGGGGAUGACGGUACCGGAAGAAUAAGCACCGGCUAACUACGUGCCAGCAGCCGCGGUAAUACGUAGGGUGCAAGCGUUAAUCGGAAUUACUGGGCGUAAAGCGUGCGCAGGCGGUUUGCUAAGACCGAUGUGAAAUCCCCGGGCUCAACCUGGGAACUGCAUUGGUGACUGGCAGGCUAGAGUAUGGCAGAGGGGGGUAGAAUUCCACGUGUAGCAGUGAAAUGCGUAGAGAUGUGGAGGAAUACCGAUGGCGAAGGCAGCCCCCUGGGCCAAUACUGACGCUCAUGCACGAAAGCGUGGGGAGCAAACAGGAUUAGAUACCCUGGUAGUCCACGCCCUAAACGAUGUCAACUAGUUGUUGGGGAUUCAUUUCCUUAGUAACGUAGCUAACGCGUGAAGUUGACCGCCCGGGGAGUACGGUCGCAAGAUUAAAACUC
rnacentral:rRNA from 1 species